GCCAGCAGCCAUAUCACCCUGCAACUCACAACUGGCAACCCACUGAAGCUAAGCAGGUGUGAGCCUGGUCAGUACCUGGGACAGUAGUUUUCCUGGGAAAAACUAAGGUUGCUGCUGGAA
rnacentral:rRNA from 1 species